CCUACGGGGGGCAGCAGUGGGGAAUAUUGGACAAUGGGGGCAACCCUGAUCCAGCCAUGCCGCGUGUGUGAAGAAGGCCCUCGGGUUGUAAAGCACUUUCAGUGAGGAAGAACGCCUGGUGGUUAAUACCCAUCAGGAAAGACAUCACUCACAGAAGAAGCACCGGCUAACUCCGUGCCAGCAGCCGCGGUAAUACGGAGGGUGCGAGCGUUAAUCGGAAUUACUGGGCGUAAAGCGCGCGUAGGUGGCUUGAUAAGCCGGUUGUGAAAGCCCCGGGCUCAACCUGGGAACGGCAUCCGGAACUGUCAAGCUAGAGUGCAGGAGAGGAAGGUAGAAUUCCCGGUGUAGCGGGGAAAUGCGUAGAGAUCGGGAGGAAUACCAGUGGCGAAGGCGGCCUUCUGGACUGACACUGACACUGAGGUGCGAGAGCGUGGGUAGCAAACAGGAUUAGAUACCCUUGUAGGC
rnacentral:rRNA from 1 species